UACAGAGGGGGCAAGCGUUGUUCGGAAUUACUGGGCGUAAAGGGCGCGUAGGCGGACUGUUAAGUCGGGGGUGAAAUCCUGGGGCUCAACCUCAGAAUUGCCUCCGAUACUGGCAGUCUCGAGUGCGGGAGAGGUGAGUGGAAUUCCCAGUGUAGAGGUGAAAUUCGUAGAUAUUGGGAAGAACACCAGUGGCGAAGGCGGCUCACUGGCCCGUAACUGACGCUGAGGUGCGAAAGCGUGGGGAGCAAACAGG
rnacentral:rRNA from 1 species